rnacentral:rRNA from 1 species
GAGGCUUUCGGGUCGUAAAACUCUGUUGUUAGGGAAGAACAAGUGCUAGUUGAAUAAGCUGGCACCUUGACGGUCCCUAACCAGAAAGCCACGGCUAACUACGUGCCACCAGCCGCGGUAUAACGUAGGUGGCAAGCGUUAUCCGGAAUUAUGGGGCGUAAAGCGCGCGCAGGUGGUUUCUUAAGUCUGAUGUGAAACCCCACGGCUCACCCGGGGAGGGUCAUUGGAAACUGGGAGACUUGAGUGCAAAAAAGGAAAGUGGAAUUCCUUGUGUAGCGGUGAAUAA